UGGUGACGUUCCUGUCGUCACUGCCGCGGUUCCUGGUCCUAGUUGUAAACAUUCGGCAGGUGUUAACUACAAAAGAUAUAAUUGAGUUAUUAACGAUCCAGGAUAAGGAUAUAUUUUGGUAUGUCUACGAUUUAAUAUAGGGCUGCUUGUUGAGGUAUCGGCGCGAUGCCACCGACGCUCGCCGGAUUAUAAUAAUUAGUUGGACUAACGGGAGGUGAAGGAUAGGGCCAAUAAAAUAUCGGUGGUGGUGGAUAUGGCCCAGCGAAUUGGGGUGGUCCUCGUGGUAGCAUCGCGGUUGUUGGAGGGAAGAUUGCACUUGUUACGAACGACGGUGGUGGCGGCAAUAUCGUGCCUCCUAAAGGAAGGAAAAUUAGAAAAAGAUUACUUCAUUUAUUGUAAUAAUUACGAACGAUAAACAAUGAUGAUUUCGUUCGACGUUAAUAAAAAAGAAAAGUAAAUAAAGUAAAUUAAAAAUAAGAGAAAACAAAGUAAAAUAAAUAAAUAAAUGAACAAAAAAAAAAAUAAAAAGUCAAGAGAGAUACGUAACGUUUCAAAAUCAAUCAGUGAUAAUUAAUUAAUUAAUACAAAGAAUCAGUAGUGCCCCAUGGCGUUUUUAUGUAUGUAUGUAUGUACAUUAAAGAAAAAUGCCCACUAUGCAACACAA